UUUGUUUUUUUUGAACGGUCACCGGGGGGGAGAGGAUCCCCACCUGAAUAUAUUGCUCAAAAAGCUGCCAAAGCCAAGAGUCACCCCUUAAGCUUUUGGCUGAUCCAGUUUAUAAGGAAAAUCGGAUUGAAAACCUAAACAACUUGACCCCGUUUAUAAGGGAAACCGGGCCGAAAACCGUACAGUUAACAAGGUUACAGAAGAUGAGAAGAAAUUGCCACCUAGGAGAAGGCAUGACCUAGCUAGCAAGCAGAAAGAACAACACCACGAGAGACAAGUAGAUGUAGGGUGCUGUCGAGGGAUCACAAUACCAAAACUCUGCAAACAACCUAACGCACCGCACCGGCGUGCGUACCGAGCCCCACGGCACAACAGAGGAUCAACCAUAAUCAACGAGUGCCAAACUAACACGAACCUUGACUGGGAGAUCCGCCACGGGCAGUCGAAACGAUUAGCGGGUCGGGGAGGCAUCAUUGCAUCGUCAUUUAGCAAAGGUGAACCAAGAGAACACCAAGAGCCCGAAGCUCGCAACAGCACAUCGGCAACCAUGGGAGGGUCUUGAGCAUGCACAGCAACAGGACGGAGACCACGCGAAGGACAGCCGAAGAGAAACACAUGAAGAAGAACCACCACCGUCGGCCCCAAGCUGGCCACACCACCACCACCAAACACCCCACCCUCAACCACGCGCAGCAGCAGGAGCCGUCGUUUGGGCCUCCAAGAUGAUGCCUCCAAGGAGGUAGUGUUGUCAAAGACACAACACCAUCAUCCGAUCCGGCAAGCCCGAUCCUAGGUUUUCACCCGGAGACCACAAAGCAAAGAACCGUAGGUGCUGGAGCUCCACAGCGGCACCUCCUGCGAGGGGAACGACGUCCAUAGACGUCGCUGCCGCCGACAUCGACAUAGUCGAUGCAAGGUUCUCACCCGGAGUUUGAGCACAUCCCUACAGCAAGACGGCCUGAACCACGCCGAAGUCGAUGCAAGAUACUGAAGAGGCGCAAUGAACUGCUGUCGCCAACCACACCUCGCGGAGACGAACGACAGCCAAACUUCAGCACCACCACCAUGCAACCACCACUGGUCCCUCCGACCGGAGACGAGCAGGGCGUACAACGCACCUCGACGACGUCUUUAAGAAGAGCAUGGCACCCGAGGGCGUCACCGUCGCCGGCCCCGGCCAACAGCCUGAGGCGGAGCUUUCGCUUGGCGCUGCCACACAUCCCACCAGAGUCCGAGCCCGGUCGGACCACCAAGCAGCCUCACGCCACACGAACCCCUCGCCGCCUGCACCCGCAGACAAGCCAGAAGCCAACCCCAGAUCCGCCCGAGCCCUGCCAGAUCCGGCAGCCGCCCGAGCCGACCAGCAAUCUUCCACCUCCGGGCAGCCAUAGGAGGCGACUGCACUCCACCCAAGCACCACGCAGGCGAGCGCCCACAAGCAGGGGGGAGGAGGGCCGCCACCCCUCCUCAAACAGGCGGCCGGAUCGGGCGCGAGAUUCGCGCAGAGGGCCGCCGUCCCGCUGCACGCGGGGAGCCGCCGCGGCUGCACCAAGGGAAGACCCCGGAGACGCCACCCACCGGAGAAGGACGGGGCCCCCGGGCCGCCGCAGUCGCCGGGCCGCCGAGCAAGAGGAAGGUGCGCCCGCCCACCACCAGAGAAAAGCGCCGAUGCGCAGGGAACGCCCCGCCGCCGCCGUCCGCGGCGCGGGAUUAGCCCGGCCGCAUCUUCCGGCGGCGGCGAGGGGGGAGGAGAGGUGAGGGGCGGCGCCGGGCGGCCGGCGGCUUGGGUUCCCCCGAGCCGCCUGGAGGCGACGCGGGGGUCGGAGGAAAAGCUGGAGAAAAAAAAUCAGCAGGUCAAUUUUGACAUGUCCAGUUAGUUCGGGUAACCUUUGCAUCUUUACAUGUCUUUGCCUUACUGCCAUUUUAUUUUUGCUGCGUUGCUAUUAGGUUCCGAAGUCAUGCCUUCGCCUUACUGUCGUGCUGAUACUGGAUGCCACGUUGAGGAAUAUUGGGAUCACAACUUAACUUAAAUUGAAUUAGCAAUAUAGUGUCAAUGUGUGUCAUCUGAACCUAAUGAGAUGUUGUUUACUGAAGAACAACCCCUUGCUACUUGCACAGUACGUGAAAAAACACCCUAAAUAGAUUGAAGAAAUCAUAAUUGACUGUGAUUGCAUUUAGUUGAUGCUUAUGUGUAUUUCCCAUCAGUAGACCAAGUGGGUACUGGGUAAUCUUCUAUAUUUCAAGUCCAAGCUUUCUAUUCAUUUUUCUAUCUUUUUUUGCAUAUCUUAGUGAUCAUCUGCAGGGCUGAAUUAUGCCAUUGUUGAUGGUGCACAGGUCUAUUGCUUGGUAGACCCGGUAUUGGCCCUCCUUUCAAGCUCAUGUGUUCAUCCUAGAGAAAAAUCUGGAAAAUACGUCUAAACUAUCUUUUAAUCUGCCUAUAGUGUAAUGCUACGAUUAUAUAUAUGGAUACAUCAUAUCGAUAUGUCAAGAGACCUAAAGCCUUAAGAGUUAAAGUGACAAACUGGGACUGAUGUCAUAAUUGCAUAUGGGCUUUGUUCAAUUAUUUUCUUGCCUAGAACGAUGAUGUUUGCAGAUGGGCUUGUUCAGUCAUAAGAGCUUAUCGGUUCAGCUGGCAUAAUUUUGUUUCUUCAGUGUACUGUGUCUGAGGAAAAAAAAUAUUUUGUUUCCUGUUUAGGUGAAUUCAUGGCCAAGAUGGACGGAUUUCUGUUGUGUGGGCUAGAGGUUCUUGAGGUAGAGCACCAGCACCAACUAAGCUUCCAUUCUGGUAAAAUGUGGAAAUUAGCAAGCAGGCUAUAGUCGGUGCAUGGAUGACCAAGUUUACUUAUUACUUUAUGAAGAUGAUGAUUCCUAAAUGGAAUUAGGAGCUAGGUCCAGCAUGUUGAUUGUGCUUCAAGGUACAGUUGUUUGUACCUUAUAAAACUAAUGCUUUUUAUUGGUGUGCAUCUUGACCGAAAGCUUGAUUCAUAGAUAGCUUCUCUUUGGCCAUGUGAUUAUUUGAAGAUUUUUGCUCUAUGUUGUUUCCCUUGAUUAGGUUCAGAAGAUGAUUGCAGCAAUUAGUCCAAUUAAUAUUUUGUUCAUAUGCUUUGAAUAAAACUGUGUUCAGACAUCAUGUUGUAUGCACUUAGGGUGCAUCCAAUCAUUUUUGUAGGUUGAAACACGAGAAGAAGUACUAUCUUGCCUGCCUGAAAUUGACAGGAGCUUAGUCUGAAUGUCGAAGAAAUACUGGAAUGUAGGAUGGAGAGGUUAGCAUGCUUACUCCAUGUAAUAAUUUCAGAACUACUGUGUUAUAGUAAUGUAUUUAGCUAAACCUUUCAUUCGGCACAUCCAUAACUCAACCAGUUUAUGCAUGAUGAUUUAGGGCGUAUUUAUUUCCAAAGCAAACAAACUACUGGUCUUCGCUGGGUAAGGAUAGGUGUUUGGUACCGAAACAAAAAUUUACUUUGUCGGGCUAACUAGCAUGCAUGGGCUAGACAAUCUUGGCACACUGGGAAAACAAUGUAAUGUUGCAGCAUGUCAACAUCAUGUUCUAAACCAUUUUUAGUGGCUGAGAGAAGAAACAAUUGUCCAGGCUCAUAAGAAAGAGCUUUUAAUUUUAGGCCAUUGUUUCGACGAGCUGGUGAACAACCUGGGUAUCUAAUUUUAUAUGAGCCAGGGAAAGCAAUUUUAUACCUAACAGCUCUCCCCUGAUUUGGAUCUUUGUUGGCCGUUCGAUCUUGCUCAUUUCGGUCAAUUGUGCCAGUUCGGUCGUCCGAUCCUUGCAUCGUGUUAUCACCUUGCCUAUUUUAUUCUCCUCACUUUGUCAUGGAUUAACAUCAUAUUACUAAUUUUUUGUGUUGAACUAACCAGUUUAACAAUCAAAAUUGAUGGCCUUGCAUCAACUGUUGUUGUUCUGCUAGCCAUAGGCUGCCCUCAGGUUCAUAAUUCUAAGCUUGGACCAUGUGGCCCACCUUAACCAAUGCAGCUUGAUGACUCCGUGUGGUUGCUAGGGGAACAGGUUGUGCUGAUAAAAGUCCAUGAAUUUUUUAUUAGCAUCAUUAUUUUUCAAUUUGAUCUAUUGUUUUCUAGCUUUUCUUGUGUAUCAACUUCCAUAUACGGUACUGUUUGUCAAGCAUUACUAUUGUUCUCACUUAGAAUUUUUUAUUUUCUUCUUUGCUACUUUAAAUUUAGAUGCUCAAGAAAUUUGGUAAGUAUCAUAGUGGUUCGGGCCUUGGUGCUACAUGAGACACAAUCACCUUCAAAGUACAUGUGUGUAUUAUGGAUAUUAAUGCUUUUGCUCAUUCUAAUUUUUUACUUAAGGUGGUUACAUUUUCUUACUUCUUGCUGAAAUAGAGUGAAUUCAGUCAUGAACAUGCAUUGAUAUAUUUAUUGUUAGUUUAUCUUCGUGUUAUCGGUAUGCUUUCGAUGGCUGCAACCUGAACUAAUUAUAUCACUAUUCCCAUCUUACUUAGUGGCAUUGCUAUGCUUCACGGUAUACAAUGUUUUGCAUGCCAGUAUAAUUCAUAAGUGGUUUUCGUAUUUAGGUGUUAUUAAUAUGGUGAGUGAUUGAAGGGGAGGCAUGAGGAGAAGAGCAGUCCAAAGGGUGGAUGGAGCAUGUCACUUGUUGAUGUUCUUUCCAUUUCCGGACAGAACAACCGUUCUAUGAUUUGGGUGUAUGUUGAUGUGUGAAAGUCAAGCAUUUGGAUUCCCAACUAGACUAUUGUGUGUGUUUAAUAUUUUAUUGUGCAUUGAUAAAAUGUUUCAGUGCCCAUGUGCACAAGUUAAAUUUUGAAAUAGAUGAAAGGACAACACAGCAUAAGGGAGUUUGCCCUUUAGGAAGGUUCUUGUCUGCUGUUGUGAUUAAAAUUAGGAAAUUUAUAUACCUAUAGCAGGAUAGUUGCUCAAGCUCAAGUCUUAUGUAACAUGUAACAUCUAAACUAUGUUUGUGCUAAUAAUUUUUCCCAUUGAAAAAGGCCAUGUUGCACAAA